GCCCGCGGGUGCUGCUCCCGGCCGCCGCCGGCGGUGACGAGGUGGUAAAAACUCACGGUUACUAGUGAGCGACACACACAGACUUUCCAGUCUAUUAACCACCACGCCAGAGAGAUGGGGCUCUAACUGCACACACGGGGCAACGGCCCGCGCUGCCGGCGCUGCCGCUCUAGUCUCUAUCCGCCGCCGGUGGCUGAGGCGUGGGAGCGGGCGGGCGGCGGGCGGCGACGCGGGGAUUUGGACAGUGGCCGUAACGGUGAUUUCUCCUCACCAACAUGGCGGCACCCGAGACAAGAGGCUCGAGAAAAUGGCGCCGGCCGCAACACCUGAUCCGGGACUAGAGGGCAGGCGAGAUCCCUCCGCGCGCCUGGCUCUGGCCCCGCCCCCCCAGACCGAGGGCGGUGGCCAUUGGAUAAAACUGCCCGUCGAUCACCACCAGGGGCGGGGCUUCAGCCUUCUCAGUGCUUCGCGGAAGCAGCAUCCGGGUGGCUGCGCAAUGAGCUGACAGAGUUGGGUGGUCCGACGGAGGAGGUGGCGCGAGGUUCGCGGACCUGGGUGCCUGGCUCGCCUGGGUGCCCGGCUCUCCUGGGUCGCGGGGUGCCGCAUACGUCCGCCCAGGCCGAGCAGCUGCGGUUGCACAGAUCCCCCGAGCCAUCAGCCGGCGUAGGAAUAGGGAACGCUGGCUCUGGAGGCCGCUUUUUAUAAAGAAACCCUUUGUGGCUGAAAUAACGGAGAAAAGACCCUUCUCCUCCCAAGUCGGGGCGAUCGCUUCCGCAGCGAUCAGUGCGCAGUCGCGUCUUAGGGAAGCCAGCUUGACUGGCCACUGUUCCGAUGUUGGAUGUUUCCGAUGUUUACCCCAUCAUCACUCGAUAAUAAAAUAGAUUUAGGAUAAUUGCAAAAUUUCUUCCUUUGAUAAGAAAGUAUGUAAAAUAUAUGUGAAUAUUUCAUAACGAGGCAUUACAGUUUAUAUGUAGGAGUGUGCACUCAGAAAUAGUGUUUAAAUGACGAGUCAGUGUUUUGACCUAUUUAAUGUAGCAUACUACUUGGAUCUAAAGGAACAUUCCUUGCUUUUUAUUAAAAUGAUGGACUUGGUUAAUCUUCCCAAAUAUCUGACUUCCCUCAUCUUCCCUAGUGGCAUGCGUUCAGAAAAAAUCUUGGAAUUAGUAGAUUAAACUUGAACUUCGGGAUAGGUACAUAGAAAGGAGAAAAGAAAGAAAUCGCCUAUUCUUUUUUCUUUCUCUUUUUUUUUUAAGUUGAACGCACAGUUGACAAAGGCUGAACUCUAAUAAUUCUGCAAGCAGUUGCCGCAUUUGCCCAUAAUACAUAAUAGCCUCCAUAAUGCAUUUAUAGAAAACUUUUAAAAAACAAAUGCAUUUUGUCUUGAGAAACAAUGUUAGUAUUUGGAGUUACAAAGCAUUGUCAGGGCCCUUUUGUAACUAUUUUAGUGAAUUUAGGUCUAAUUGUAACCAUAAAUAGUACAGCUGAUUUCUUUGCAGUCAUCCAAAGGCCUUUGAGAUCCCAGCACAAACAGUGUAUUCAAAGGAACAAGUGAAGAGACUUAAACUUUGAAACCAUUUGCAGUGGCAUGGUCAGCUACAAGUGAGUCAGAAGGGACAGAGAAGCAACCAGUCUUCCAGCCCUGAGCCUGAAGGGGUUACAGAAGGCCUUGUUACCAGGACCUGAAGAUAGCUGGGGUUGUGGGGAGGUGCUGUUUGAUAAGCCCUGUGGCAUCGGGUAAAGACAAGUAACCACUGCCAAACUAAGGCUUUUCAGAGCACAGAAGUUAUAGAAGUAGUCUGCUUUUCCAGUCUCCUGACUGCUGCCAUUGGCUGGAUCCAACUGGAAGUCCCAGAGAAAGGGAGAGGGGCGUGAGUCUCUAUGGAUACAAGAAGGAUGGAGGAGAGUAAAUCUGACAGGCAAAUGGAGAAUAUGCAGUGAAAUCCAUUAACACUACAAAUUACACUUAUAAAUUUCUUAAUAUUAAGGCUUAAAAAGUUUGUGUUCAUGAGAUAAAUCUAAUUUGUGCAUUCUUUGAUUCAUUUGUGUUUAUUGGUACUAGUGAUUGAACCCAGGAGCAUUUAACCACUGAGCUACAUCAGAUAAGUUGCUCAGGGUCUUGCUGAGUUGCUAAGGCUGGCUUCCAUCCUUCUGCCUAAGUCUUCCAUGUUGCUGGAAUUACUACAGGUAUUGCCACUGCACCUGGCUUACUUUGUUAUUUAUUUUAAAAUUUUGUUUGAUUUUAUUUGUUACUGUUUUGCUUAUAUUUUUCUUGUAUAUUCAUGAGUGAAAUAGGGCUGUCAUUUUCCUUUAAUGUUUUUUACUUCAUUGUCAGGGUUAUACUGGCUUUGUAAAAUGGGUUUAGGAAUUUUCCUUUUUAUUAUUAUUACCUGAAAGAGUCUAUAAAGCUGGAAUAUUCCAGUCCUUCAAACUUUAGAAGAAUAUGUUUUAAACAAUCUGAACAUGGCAUCCUCUUUCUGGAAAGAUUUUUCAAACCAGUGCUUCUGUUCUUUUACUAGUUAUAGGACUAUUCAAGCUUUUUUAUUUUUUCUUGCAUCAGUUUUAAGAAAGAGCUGUUUAGAAUUCAGAAUUUAAUACAAACUAUAGAAUUAUCAAAUUCUACAAACAAAUCUUGUUGAUAUAUAUUCAUUUUAUCUAAAUUUUCUAAGAAUUUUCACAUGCCAUGUAAGAUUUCAAAUAUAGUUUGCUAGUAUUUUAUUAUUAGCCUUUUAAUAUUUAUUAAUUUGUAGUUAUACCACCUUUUUGUUGUAAUUUUAAUUAAUAUAAUCAGGGGAUUAUCUGUUUUGUUGAUGGGUUUUUUAAAGGAAUUCAGGUUCGACUGUAUGUCAUUAUUUUCUGCCCUUAUUUUUAUUGUUCCUAAUUCAUUAAUUUCCACUUUUAUUUAUAUUAUAUCUUUGCUCUUGCUUUCUUUGGGAUUAUUUUCUUUCCUAACUUUAAUCCUUAAUUUUGGUGCAUCUUUUCUAUGAUAAGCUUUUCAGGCUAUAAACUACUCUUGGCUAACUGCUUCAGCUGAAUUCCCACUUUCAUUUUAUUGUCUCAGUUAUUUUAUAACUUUAUAAUUUAUUUUUAACCCAUGAGCUACUGAGCAGUGUUAACUUCUAGCUUAACUAAUUCAUGUUGUGUGCUCAUAAAUCAUGGUCUGUAUAAUAUGUGUGUUUUCCUUUAAUGUUUUUUACUUCAUUGUCAGGGUUAUGCUGGCUUUGUAAAAUGGUAUGUAGUAAAGAAUGUAGUAAAGAAAAUGUAAUUGUCUCAUUAUUGGAUGCAGAACUUCUCGUAGCCCAUUAGGUCAACACUGUUAGUUGCAAAGUUGUUAUUUUUUAUAUUAUUGCAAAUAUUUAUAAUCAAGUAAAACACAUUGAAAUCCCUCACCAUGAUGCUGAGUUUAUCCAUUUCUUCUAUCAUCUAUCAUGUUUUGCUUCAUAUAAGGAUAUUUUAUUAGGUACAUUAAUGUCUACAGUUGUUUUAUCUUCUUGGCAAACUGUGCAGCAGCUUUCUGUAUUUCCUAUCAUGCUGUCUGCCCUAAUGUCUUUGUCUUCUCAUAUAUCCAUAGAGCUACAGAACCCUUUUUUAGCUUUUGCAUGACAGGUGCAAAAAGCCCCCUGGUCCUCACAGCAUUGGCAAGCCUGAGCUCGGUGCUACCCUGACUUUUGUCUGAAGGACACUGUGCCAGGUGUGGGUUCCUGUUGGUCCAAGACAAUGGCGGGAAAGCAGGACAAUGGUAGGGAAGCAGGCCCAGGACACUAACUCUUAUGAAUUUGUCCUCUAAAAUUCAUGUUCUGGACACUUGGUCCCCAGUGCAACAGUGUUGAGAGGUGGGGCCUGAUGGGGAGUGUUUAGGUCCCAGGCUCUGCUCUAGGACAAGGACUUGCCAGAGUGGGUUUUCUCUUCUGUUCUUCUGUCAAAUGAGGACAUGGAGUUUGCCUUCUCCUGCCUUCCACCUCUGCUAUGUAAGGACACAAGAAGAAAGCCCUCACCAGACCAGAUGUUGGCUCCCUGGUCUUGGGCAUCUCAGCCUGCAGAACUGUGAAAAAAUAAAUUCCUGUUCUUUAUAAAUUA